rnacentral:rRNA from 1 species
CCCUCCCUCUUUCUUCAUGCCUAACACAUGCAAGUCGAACGAGACCUUCGGGUCUAGUGGCGCACGGGUGCGUAACGCGUGGGAACCUGCCCUUAGGUUCGGAAUAACUCCCCGAAAGGGGUGCUAAUACCGGAUAAUGUCUUCGGACCAAAGAUUUAUCGCCUUUGGAUGGGCCCGCGUUGGAUUAGCUAGUUGGUAGGGUAAAAGCCUACCAAGGCGACGAUCCAUAGCUGGUCUGAGAGGAUGAUCAGCCACACUGGGACUGAGACACGGCCCAGACUCCUACGGGAGGCAGCAGUGGGGAAUAUUGGACAAUGGGCGAAAGCCUGAUCCAGCAAUGCCGCGUGAGUGAUGAAGGCCUUAGGGUUGUAAAGCUCUUUUACCCGGGAUGAUAAUGACAGUACCGGGAGAAUAAGCGCCGGCUAACUCCGUG